UACAGAGGUGGCAAGCGUUGUUCGGAAUUACUGGGCGUAAAGGGCUCGUAGGCGGCCAACUAAGUCAGACGUGAAAUCCCUCAGCUUAACUGGGGAACUGCGUCUGAUACUGGAUGGCUUGGAUUCGGGAGAGGAAUGCGGAAUUCCAGGUGUAGCGGUGAAAUGCGUAGAUAUCUGGAGGAACACCGAUGGCGAAGGCAGCUCGCUGGGACGGUACUGACGCUGAGGCGCGAAAGCGUGGGGAGCGAACAGG
rnacentral:rRNA from 1 species